CCUACGGGUGGCAGCAGUGGGGAAUAUUGGACAAUGGGCGCAAGCCUGAUCCAGCAAUACCGCGUGUGUGAAGAAGGCCUUAGGGUUGUAAAGCACUUUCAAUGGGGAGGAAAACCUACCGGUCAAUACCCGGUAGCUUGACAUUACCUGUAGAAGCAGCCCCGGCUAACUCCGUGCCAGCAGCCGCGGUAAUACGGAGGGUGCAAGCGUGAAUCGGAAUGACUGUAGGUGAAUCGUUAAUACAGAUGUGAAAGCCCCGGGCUUAACCUGGGAACUGCAUUUGAAACUGGCGGACUAGAGUUGAGUAGAGGGGAGUGGAAUUUCAGGUGUAGCGGUGAAAUGCGUAGAUAUCUGAAGGAACACCAGUGGCGAAGGCGACUCCCUGGACUCAAACUGACGCUGAGGUACGAAAGCGUGGGUAGCAAACAGGAUUAGAUACCCUGGUAGUC
rnacentral:rRNA from 1 species